rnacentral:lncRNA from 1 species
GGUUUAUGAAAUAAAAGUAGUGCAUAAGAUUAACAUACUUUGCUUUGAAUGAUGUGGCCUGUGGAUGAUCAUAAUCAAUAAACAGUUUUGAUUCAUUCCAAGCAUUAGAAAUAUAGAGCUUUCCAAUGGUUGCGUCAAAGGAAAACAUAACAAAUUAAAACCCUACAAAAGUUGGACAUGCUUAAGGAAGAAAACAAACUUAUAAUGUGAAGGCAUACUUGAACUUUUUUGGAACAUAGCAUGAGUGAUAAUGAUGGUUUUGG